rfam:Gossypium hirsutum cultivar TM-1 chromosome 2, whole genome shotgun sequence
AUCCCAUGGUGAGGCCAUCUAUGUACUAACUCCUUAAAUCUUUCUCACGCCUUGUAUAGGGACUCGUAAUCCAAUUGUUGAAAAGUGGUGAUCUCAUUCCGCAACUU